rnacentral:rRNA from 1 species
AUUGAACGCUGGCGGCAGGCCUAACACAUGCAAGCCGAACGAGUGGCGGACGGGUUAGUAAUGUUUGGGAAACUGGCAGAUGGAGGGGGAUAACUACUGGAAACGGUAGCUAAUACCGCAUACAAUCGGAUCAGACCAGAUGGGAUUAGCUAGUAGGGGGGGUAAAGGCUCACCUAGCCGACGAUCCCUAGCUGGUAUGCGAGGAUGACAGGACACCCUUGGACUGAUAAACGGACCAGACUCCUACGGGAGGCAGCAGUGGGGAAUAUUGCACAAUGGGCGCAACCCUGAGGCAGGCAUGCCGCGCGUAUGAAGAAGGCCUUAGGUUUUUAAAGUACUUUCGGCAGGGAGGCGUUACCCGCAGAAGAAGCACCGGCUAACGCCGUGCCAGCCGCCGCGGUAAUUC